rnacentral:rRNA from 1 species
AGGGUUUGAUCAUGGCUCAGAUUGAACGCUGGCGGCAGGCCUAACACAUGCAAGUCGAGCGGCAGCGGGAAAGUAGCUUGCUACUUUUGCCGGCGAGCGGCGGACGGGUGAGUAAUGCCUGGGAAAUUGCCCAGUCGAGGGGGAUAACAGUUGGAAACGACUGCUAAUACCGCAUAUGCCCUACGGGGGAAAGCAGGGGACCUUCGGGCCUUGCGCGAUUGGAUAUGCCCAGGUGGGAUUAGCUAGUUGGUGAGGUAAUGGCUCACCAAGGCGACGAUCCCUAGCUGGUCUGAGAGGAUGAUCAGCCACACUGGAACUGAGACACGGUCCAGACUCCUACGGGAGGCAGCAGUGGGGAAUAUUGCACAAUGGGGGAAACCCUGAUGCAGCCAUGCCGCGUGUGUGAAGAAGGCCUUCGGGUUGUAAAGCACUUUCAGCGAGGAGGAAAGGUCAGUAGCUAAUAUCUGCU